AUGUACCGCUCGUACACUCCGGUUCUGAGCGCGCCGCCCGCACCCACCUGACGACCGCUCGCUACGUUUUGUUAGCC
rnacentral:sRNA from 3 species